rnacentral:rRNA from 1 species
GAUGAACGCUGGCGGCGUGCCUAAUACAUGCAAGUCGAGCGAACAGACGAGGAGCUUGCUCCUCUGACGUUAGCGGCGGACGGGUGAGUAACACGUGGAUAACCUACCUAUAUGACUGGGAUAACUUCGGGAAACCGGGGCUAAUACCGGAUAAUAUAUUGAACCGCAUGGUUCAAUAGUGAAAGACGGUUUUGCUGUCACUUAUAGAUGGAUCCGCGCCGCAUUAGCUAGUUGGUAAGGUAACGGCUUACCAAGGCAACGAUGCGUAGCCGACCUGAGAGGGUGAUCGGCCACACUGGAACUGAGAAACGGUCCAGACUCCUACGGGAGGCAGCAGUAGGGAAUCUUCCGCAAUGGGCGAAAGCCUGACGGAGCAACGCCGCGUGAGUGAUGAAGGUCUUCGGAUCGUAAAACUCUGUUAUUAGGGAAGAACAAAUGUGUAAGUAACUAUGCACGUCUUGACGGUACCUAAUCAGAAAGCCACGGCUAACUACGUG